CCUACGGGUGGCAGCAGUGAGGAAUAUUGGUCAAUGGGCGGGAGCCUGAACCAGCCAAGCCGCGUGAGGGAAGAAGGUACAGCGUAUCGUAAACCUCUUUUGUCAGGGAACAAAGGCGGGGACUAGUCCCCGGAUGAGGGUACCUGAAGAAAAAGCAUCGGCUAACUCCGUGCCAGCAGCCGCGGUAAUACGGAGGAUGCGAGCGUUAUCCGGAUUUAUUGGGUUUAAAGGGUGCGCAGGCGGUCUGUUAAGUCAGCGGUCAAAGCCCGGGGCUCAACCCCGGCCCGCCGUUGAAACUGGCAGUCUCGAGUUGGAGAGAAGUAUGCGGAAUGCGCGGUGUAGCGGUGAAAUGCAUAGAUAUCGCGCAGAACUCCGAUUGCGAAGGCAGCAUGCCGGCUCCACACUGACGCUGAGGCACGAAAGCGUGGGUAUCGAACAGGAUUAGAUACCCUUGUAGUC
rnacentral:rRNA from 1 species